AUUUAUAUAAUCUUAAAAGGAAAUGUCAGUGCACCACUCUUUUGACAAUAAUGCCCUUUCCUCACUUCUAUUUCGCCAUUCUUUCUCCUCACUUCUAUUUCGCCCUUCGUUUCCACUCGACUGAAACAUAUCACGCAGAUCCAAAACCCUAGCACAAUUGCUGUGCCAUCAUCUUCACACACUUGCCAGUCCUUCAAUCGAUCGCUCACGUUUCCCCUAACCCUAUAUCGUGCACCAUCAUGCUCCAUCGUUCACGCCUCCGAUCCCUGUAUUUCUGUUGUAAUUUGAUCUGGAAAUUGUGGUUGUUCUGUUCAUUGUUUUAGAUCUUCUCGAGUCAAAGAUGGGGCCUAUGGAUAUUGUUGGUAAGAGCAAAGAGGAUGCUUCGUUACCGAAAGAUUCAUUUGCAGUGUUUUUAUUUUUUUUAAAAGUUCGGUGCCCCAGUUCGGCGGCUAGGGUUUAGUCAGAGUUUUCCCAACGAUUGAGUCAAAUCAACCACAUACAUUUGUUGUUGUUACCCUCGAUCCACCUAUCCGUAAGGGUCAAACUAUGUAUCCACAUAUAGUGUUGCAGUUUGAAACAGAUUAUGUGGUGGAAAGCACGUUGACAAUGAAUGAAGAUCUUUUCGCUACCAAAUACAAGGACAAGCUAGAACCAACUUAUAAGGGACUGAUUUAUGAAGUGUUUACAAUGGUAUUGAGAGGCUUAUCAGGCACAAAACUCACAAGUCCCGGAAAAUUCCGUAGCUGUCAAGACGGUUACGCUGUGAAGUCAUCGUUAAAAGCCGAAGAUGGCGUUCUUUAUCCGCUUGAAAAGAGUUUUUUCUUCUUACCAAAACCACCUACUCUUAUUCUAUACGAUGAGAUGGCAAAAUAUUCCAAGUGCAAGCUGGAAUUCAGCAAGUGUCAAAGGAAGGAUAUAGGGUAUGUUUGGCAAAAGUAUUUGGUCGCAAAAGAAGAGUUCGGUGAUGAAGAGGUGAACUGUGAAUCUUCACCGGAACAGGCUGCAAAUUUUUUAUUUUGGUUUCGCUCGAUCCACUUUAGAUGAAGAAAGCCAAGAAUGCGAUCUUGAACCAACGCUACGUAGCGCGCCGCAACGCGCGCGAGUGAUGAACCUGUAAAGACCGACUCGUGGCGAGUCUGCAAUGUAACGACCAAAUGUUGGUGAUUCAAAAAUAUUUUUGAUCUUUUCUACACCAUUGAAUCCGGUAGCAAAAAUAACAACGUCUGCUUUUAUCUGCGUGUCAUCGUCUUUGAGGCUGAUCCCUUUUUCGGAAAAUGUAAAGCUUGGAGUUUUUUGCAACUUGAUGCUUCCUUUCUUAACCGCAUCGAAGAAAUUAUCCGGGUCAGGCAUAUAGCAAAUUAAACCUGAGUUCAUGUCUUUUAAUACGCCUUGUUGUGGCACCAUAUCAAACUUAUGGAGUGGAAGUGUCAUUUUGGCGUAGCUUUCCACAAAUUUCCAGACUA